rnacentral:lncRNA from 1 species
CUGUGUAGAGUAGUGGUCAGUAUGGGUAGGGAUCCUUGUAGAGUAGUGGUCAGUAUGGGUAGGAAUCCUUGUAGAGUAGUGGUCAGUAUGGGUAGGGAUCCUUGUAGAGUAGUGGUCAGUAUGGGUAGGGAUCCUUGUAGAGUAGUGGUCCUUA